rnacentral:rRNA from 1 species
AACGAACGCUGGCGGCAUGCCUAACACAUGCAAGUCGAACGAUGCCUUCGGGCAUAGUGGCGCACGGGUGCGUAACGCGUGGGAAUCUGCCUUUCGGUUCGGAAUAACUCAGGGACACUUGAGCUAAUACCGGAUAACGUCGCAAGACCAAAUAUUUAUCACCGAAAGGUGAGCCCGCGUAGGAUUAGCUAGUUGGUGAGGUAAAGGCUCACCAAGGCGACGAUCCUUAGCUGGUCUGAGAGGAUGAUCAGCCACACUGGGACUGAGACACGGCCCAGACUCGUACGGGAGGAAGCAGUGGGGAAUAUUGGAGAAGGGGCGAAAGCCUGAUCCAGCAAUGCCGCGUGAGUGAUGAAGGCCUUAGGGUUGUAAAGCUCUUUUACCCGGGAAGAUAAUGACGGUACCGGGAGAAUAAGCCCCGGCUAACUCCGUG